GAUGGAUGCUAGAUGUCGGGGAGUAUUCUUCGGUGUCGUAGUUAACGCGUUAAGCAUCCCGCCUGGGGAGUACGGUCGCAAGGCUGAAACUCAAAGAAAUUGACGGGGGCCCGCACAAGCGGUGGAGUAUGUGGUUUAAUUCGAUGCAACGCGAAGAACCUUACCUAGGUUUGACAUCCACGGAACCUCUCCGAAAAGAGAGGGUGCCCUUCGGGGAGCCGUGAGACAGGUGCUGCAUGGCUGUCGUCAG
rnacentral:rRNA from 1 species